GAUGAAGAACGCAGCGAAAUGCGAUACGUAAUGUGAAUUGCAGAAUUCAGUGAAUCAUCGAAUCUUUGAACGCAUAUUGCGCUCUCUGGUAUUCCGGAGAGCAUGCUUGUUUGAGUAUCAGUAAACACCUCAACUUCCAUAUCUUUUUUUGAAAUGGGAGUUGGACUUGAGUGAUCCCAACGCUUUUCCUCACCGAAAAGUGGCGGGUUACUUGAAAUGCAGGUGCAGCUGGACUUUUCUCUGACCUAUAAGCAUAUCUAUUUAGUCUGCCUAAAAAACAGAUUAUUACCUUUGCUGCAGCUAACAUAAAGGAGAUUAGUUCUUGUGCUGACUGAUGCAGGAUUCACAAAGACAGCUUCGGCCGACUUUGUAAACUCGAUCUCAAAUCAAGUAAGACUACCCGCUGAACUUAAGCAUAUCAAUAAGCGGAGGA
rnacentral:misc_RNA from 1 species